GCGAUGUCGCGAUGACACCCGGACGAGCGCACCGUACCCGGCACAAUAACCUCCCGUCGCUUCGCUCGCCCCGACAAGACGGUGCAGG
rnacentral:ncRNA from 1 species